rnacentral:rRNA from 1 species
CCGCGUGAGUGAAGAAGGCCUUCGGGUUGUAAAGCUCUUUUGUCAGGGAAGAAACGGUGGACUCUAAUACAGAUCACUAAUGACGGUACCUGAAGAAUAAGCACCGGCUAACUACGUGCCAGCAGCCGCGGUAAUACGUAGGGUGCAAGCGUUAAUCGGAAUUACUGGGCGUAAAGCGUG